AGCGAACGCUGGCGGCAGGCCUAACACAUGCAAGUCGAACGAACCUUUCGGGGUUAGUGGCGGACGGGUGAGUAACACGUGGGAACGUGCCUUUAGGUUCGGAAUAACUCAGGGAAACUUGUGCUAAUACCGAAUGUGCCCUUCGGGGGAAAGAUUUAUCGCCUUUAGAGCGGCCCGCGUCUGAUUAGCUAGUUGGUUGAGGUAAUGGCUCACCAAGGCGACGAUCAGUAGCUGGUGGGAGAGGAUGAUCAGCCACAUUGGGACUGAGACACGGCCCAAACUCCUACGGGAGGCAGCAGUAGGGAAUCUUGCGCGAUGGGCGAAAGCCUGACGCAGCCAUGCCGCGUGAAUGAUGAAGGUCUUAGGAUUGUAAAAUUCUUUCACCGGGGACGAUAAUGACGGUACCCGGAGAAGAAGCCCCGGCUAACUUCGUG
rnacentral:rRNA from 1 species